rnacentral:rRNA from 1 species
GAUGAACGCUGGCGGCGUGCCUAAUACAUGCAAGUCGAGCGAACAGACGAGGAGCUUGCUCCUCUGACGUUAGCGGCGGACGGGUGAGUAACACGUGAUAACCUACCUAUAAGACUGGGAUAACUUCGGGAAACCGGAGCUAAUACCGGAUAAUAUAUUGAACCGCAUGGUUCAAUAGUGAAAGACGGUUUUGCUGUCACUUAUAGAUGGAUCCGCGCCGCAUUAGCUAGUUGGUAAGGUAACGGCUUACCAAGGCGACGAUGCGUAGCCGACCUGAGAGGGUGAUCGGCCACACUGGAACUGAGACACGGUCCAGACUCCUACGGGAGGCAGCAGUAGGGAAUCUUCCGCAAAGGGCGAAAGCCUGACGGAGCAACGCCGCGUGAGUGAUGAAGGUCUUCGGAUCGUAAAACUCUGUUAUUAGGGAAGAACAAAUGUGUAAGUAACUAUGCACGUCUUGACGGUACCUAAUCAGAAAGCCACGGCUAACUACGUG